CCCCCCGUGGCGCGAUGGUCACCGCGUCCGACCGUUACCGCUCAACGGCACAUCGGGGGACUGUAAGUUCGAUCCUUCCCCAGGGAGU